UCUAUUUCAGCUGCUAGGAGUUCCAUUUCCGCAGCUAGGAAUUCUGGUGUCAAUGGUGGUCUGCUCUUUGAUCCUGAUAGAAAAAGCGGCUCCAGUGAAGCAGAGCCAAGAAAAAGUGGCUUCGACGUUGAAAAGAAAGACACUAGUGUUUCAGAUCCCAAAAAGCUUGAUCCUGGUUUUAAUGGAGAAAACACUAGACGUGUGUUUUCACUUAGAGAAGGCAACUUUACUACUAUGGAUGAUU
rnacentral:misc_RNA from 1 species